AGCAGACUGUAACGUUACUCCACACACUAGGUAGACAGCAGAUUGUAACGUUACUCCACACACUAGGUAGACAGCAGACGGUAACGUUACUCCACACACUAGGUAGACAGCAGACGGUAACGUUACUCCACACACUAGGUAGACAGCAGACUGUAACGUUACUCCACACACUAGGUAGACAGCAGACUGUAACGUUACUCCACACACUAGGUAGACAGCAGACUGUAACGUUACUCCACACACUAGGUAGACAGCAGACUGUAACGUUACUCCACACACUAGGUAGACAGCAGACUGUAACGUUACUCCACACACUAGGUAGACAGCAGACUGUAACGUUACUCCACACACUAGGUAGACAGCAGACUGUAACGUUACUCCACACACUAGGUAGACAGCAGACUGUAACGUUACUCCACACACUAGGUAGACAGCAGACUGUAACGUUACUCCACACACUAGGUAGACAGCAGACGGUAACGUUACUCCACACACUAGGUAGACAGCAGACU